AUUUGCCAGCUACUGUACGAAUGCUAACAAACUCUAUCUUCCUGAUGCAGGUGGCUUGGCUUCUCUUCUUGGGCAUGAUCAUUUAAUUCUAGCCAGAUGGCGACUCUCUUCUCCUCCCACUGUGACAAUACCCGCCCCUUGAAACGAUCCUUGACCCCAAGGAUCAACCGUGGAAAUUGGGACUUAAGAACGAAAUAGUCCUCCCAAGUGUCGUGAUCGUAGUUGAGGUUAACCCAUUGAACCACUAGUGGACUCAUCGCAGCAACAAUCGAAUCCCCAAUUCAUUUAUUCAAAAGGCUCACAUGAAACACGGGGUACAAACGCGAAUCAUUGGGGCAAGGGAAUUAUGUCGAUAUGGCUGUAACUUCAGGUACACUUGCUGUAACUUCAGGUGGCUUGGGCUUAUUUUCUUAGGCAUGUUUCUUUAAUUCCAGCCAGAUGGGUACAUGCCCUUCAAGUGCCUUUAGAUUCCAAUUUCCCAAAUUUGUGUGUUCAAUCCCUAACCCUAGACUAACAAUCCCCAAUUUCCUUUAUUCGCAACGACUCUCUUCUCCUCCCACUGUGACAGUUUGAUGUUUUGUACACGUUUUAGAUUAUCAAUGAAAGGUUG